CAGAACGAACGCUGGCGGCAUGCCUAACACAUGCAAGUCGAACGAGACCUUCGGGUCUAGUGGCGCACGGGUGCGUAACGCGUGGGAAUCUGCCCUUGGGUUCGGAAUAACUUCGGGAAACUGAAGCUAAUACCGGAUGAUGACGUAAGUCCAAAGAUUUAUCGCCCAAGGAUGAGCCCGCGUAGGAUUAGCUAGUUGGUGAGGUAAAGGCUCACCAAGGCGACGAUCCUUAGCUGGUCUGAGAGGAUGAUCAGCCACACUGGGACUGAGACACGGCCCAGACUCCUACGGGAGGCAGCAGUGGGAAUAUUGGACAAUGGGCGAAAGCCUGAUCCAGCAAUGCCGCGUGAGUGAUGAAGGCCUUAGGGUUGUAAAGCUCUUUUACCCGGGAUGAUAAUGACAGUACCGGGAGAAUAAGCUCCGGCUAACUCCGUG
rnacentral:rRNA from 1 species